rnacentral:rRNA from 1 species
GACGAACGCUGGCGGCGUGCCUAAUACAUGCAAGUAGAACGCAGUUGUGAACGGGUGAGUAACGCGUAGGUAACUGCCUCAUAGCGGGGGAUAACUAUUGGAAACGAUAGCUAAUACCGCAUACUGUGAGAUGGACCUGCGUGGUAUUAGCUAGUUGGUGAGGUAAAGGCUCACCAAGGCGACGAAACAUAGCCGACCUGAGAGGGUGAAGGGCCACACCGGGACUGAGGCAAGGCCCAGACUCCUACGGGAGGCAGCGGUAGGGAAGCUUCGGGAAUUGGCGGAAGGCUGGACGAGCAACGGCGGGUGAGUGAAGAAGGUUUUCGGAGCUUAAAGCUCUGUUGUUAGAGAAGCGGUAACUGACCAGAAAGGGACGGCUAACUACGUGCCAGCAGCCGCGGUAAUUC